rnacentral:lncRNA from 1 species
CUCGACUCGAUUAAGCAAUCACUUGCAACCUUGUAUUCAUCACCAACUUUUCAACACACAGAAAUGGAAGGAAUUUGGGAAAAGGUUUUGCAUAUCAACUAUCAAGUGACAGAUAUGGAAUCUCCUAACGAAGAAGGAUAGUAUUUGAUGUAAUGAAACCUGAAAGACUUUCGAGCAACAAUGCUUACCAAAGCAUAUUUAGGAUCAAAACACUUGGUUCACACACGAUUCUCAUCUCAUUUAGGUACACAUAGGACAAGUCUGAACAUAACGGCAGGUUAGUCAAAGUUCCAAAACAGUCUGCAACUAUCACCAAAGUGCAACUUAUAGAAUUCAAGACUUUUGAGAUCAGAUAAACAAAGUGCAACAUACAACUAGCAUAUCUGAUAAGUUUUGAAAAUGACUGCAAGUUAGGUGAGUCACAAGUA